UUAGACUGAAGAAGUUAGUUGUUUUUGUUGUUCCUUAGGUAUAAACAGAGCUGGGCGUAGCUUUGAUAAAGGAGGAAAUUUAAAUAGAAAAAAGUCUUCAUUUGUUUCAGUAUCAUCCAUUAGCAUUUAGUGGAAAGGUAAUUCAUGUGACUAUAUGGAGGUAAUCAGCUUUUUUGUAGUAUUUCGUAAAUGGCUUUUCAAACAAAGCACAACGUACCGAGGUAAUUGAGCACAUCUUGUCCACUUCCACCCCCCCCACUCCUCCACCUCUCUCUUUUUUCCCACACUUGCCUCCUUCCUACUCUGCCUGAGGGAGAACCAUGAGUGGGUGAAGCGAGCCACUUCUUACACAGUGUUCUCCUUCUGUCACCAUCCUUGUUGCAGGAGAGGGGAAUGGAAUAAAGCUCCCAAACUGGGCUAUUAAAGGCUAUUUUUGUCCCUGCAUGCCUGUUUCUGUGGGCUCAUGCUCCAAAUAUAGAUCUGGCACAAGUGACGCUAAUGAAACAUGUCCCCCUUUUCACUGGUUUAAAUCUACUUAUGUAAUCCCUUCCUCGGAUCAACAGGAGCUGGCCAUACCUUACCAUCUGGGCCUGAUCCUGCAGUUGUCUCUUCCUGUUAUUACUCUCUUACCAACUCAGUCCUGCCCUGUGUUUUACUUUUUCUUUUUUCUUUUUUUUUUUUUACCCUUGGAGGUCAGGUGCAUGAGGGUAAAAGUGGGAGUAUGGGUGAAAGGAGCAAUGUGUUUCCAUUUGGUUGAUGACACAGUUCCAAGAAAAGCACUCUGGGUGUGACCUACGAGUAUCCUGCCGUUCCAGUGCACAGUUACGGGAGGGAGGUGACAGAUCUGUAGAUGACUUUGUGUCAGAUAUAAACACAAAUAGAGCAGAGCUCUUUCUGACACAUGCCAUGCACACUGUGUUAAAAAUAAAUAAAUAAACAAGUCACACAGUUCUGUUCACUUGUUGUUCUCAACCAGGGGUGUCAAAGAUAAGGCCCUGGGGCCAGAAUCUGGCCCACUGGACAACUUCGGAAAAUGUGACGGAGGGCAUAAAUGUUAGACUUAAUUGUACUUUUAAAAGUUUUACAGCUUUUCCUAUUAUUAAAGACAACCCGUAUGGCAAUUUAUAGUACACACUCAAAACCUCAAGAAUCAUGAAGCAAUCAUUUUGAGUAAAUAACAGCUGAAAUAUGAAAUGAAAUAUAUAAAAGAAAGGUUUAUUUAUUCAAAUAAUUAAUCUUUUUCUAAGUGUUUAGUAUAAACUGAAUGUAUAUUGGCCAUUCCAUUCUAUUAAAUCUUAUAUUUUCCAUUGUACUUUUGUAACAAAAUAACAUGGAAAAUUUACAUGUAGGAAAAUCACUUAAAAUUGUGGUCAACAGUGGUCAACAG
ensembl:lncRNA